GCGUAGGGUACGUAGGCAGAUAGUUAAAAAUACCGUAAAAGACUGAGGAUGACCCUCUUAAUGCUGUGUUCACUAACUAUCUUGAGUUUCGAAGGCGGUUUCUUGAAUUCUCGAAGGAAGGGUGAAAUUGUUGAUAUUGGAAGACAUUCGAUAGCGAAAGCAAUAACCGAUUCGGAUCUGACGCUAGGUACUAAAGUAUGGGGAUAAAUAGGAUUAGAGACCUAGUAGUCCAUACCUUAAACAAUGAGUAUUCAACAUCUUUUAGCACGAAUGUGCUAUCUGGGGUUUACAGCUAACGCGUGAAAUACCGCCUGGGGAAUGUGGCCGCAAGGUUAAACUCAAAGGAAUUGACGGAGACUUAUACAAGG
rnacentral:rRNA from 1 species